GAUUGAACGCUGGCGGCAGGCCUAACACAUGCAAGUCGAGCGGAUGAAGGGAGCUUGCUCCUGGAUUCAGCGGCGGACGGGUGAGUAAUGCCUAGGAAUCUGCCUGGUAGUGGGGGAUAACGUCCGGAAACGGGCGCUAAUACCGCAUACGUCCUGAGGGAGAAAGUGGGGGAUCCUCGGACCUCACGCUAUCAGAUGAGCCUAGGUCGGAUUAGCUAGUUGGUGGGGUAAAGGCCUACCAAGGCGACGAUCCGUAACUGGUCUGAGAGGAUGAUCAGUCACACUGGAACUGAGACACGGUCCAGACUCCUACGGGAGGCAGCAGUGGGGAAUAUUGGACAAUGGGCGAAAGCCUGAUCCAGCCAUGCCGCGUGUGUGAAGAAGGUCUUCGGAUUGUAAAGCACUUUAAGUUGGGAGGAAGGGCAGUAAGUUAAUACCUUGCUGUUUUGACGUUACCAACAGAAUAAGCACCGGCUAACUUCGUG
rnacentral:rRNA from 1 species